GACGAACGCUGGCGGCGUGCCUAAUACAUGCAAGUAGAACGCUGAAGGAGGAGCUUGCUUCUCUGGAUGAGUUGCGAACGGGUGAGUAACGCGUAGGUAACCUGCCUGGUAGCGGGGGAUAACUAUUGGAAACGAUAGCUAAUACCGCAUAAUAGCAGUUGUUGCAUGACAACUGUUUGAAAGGUGCAAUUGCACCACUACCAGAUGGACCUGCGUUGUAUUAGCUAGUUGGUGGGGUAACGGCUCACCAAGGCGACGAUACAUAGCCGACCUGAGAGGGUGAUCGGCCACACUGGGACUGAGACACGGCCCAGACUCCUACGGGAGGCAGCAGUAGGGAAUCUUCGGCAAUGGACGGAAGUCUGACCGAGCAACGCCGCGUGAGUGAAGAAGGUUUUCGGAUCGUAAAGCUCUGUUGUAAGAGAAGAACGAGUGUGAGAGUGGAAAGUUCACACUGUGACGGUAUCUUACCAGAAAGGGGCGGCUAACUACGUG
rnacentral:rRNA from 1 species